GCGCCGGGAACCCGACCGCGCAGGGCCGGCACUGGCUGCUUGGAGGCCGCUUCCUCGGGUUUCCCACGCUGUCCUUUCCUAGCUGACCCUCCCAGGGAGGCUUUCCUUUCCUGUGAGGCUGGCAGAGGAGUGGCACAGAGGACUUUUCAUACAAGCUCAGUUGACCUGGGGUAAAAAUGUCCUUGUCACCGUGUUCAAGGGUCAGGUGGAGGCAAGAUAAAGGAACAGCUAGUGUGUUCUGCUAUCAGUCUGUAAACAUUUCUUGUCGGCCUCUCUUACUAAUAUUCUGAUGGCAUCGUUGUACCCAGAAAUGACAUUCGCCCACAUACCAGGAAGAUGCUCAGAGUUGGAAAGUUGUGUGCCAUCAUUUGUCUCCGGCAUUAAAUCUGCUUGCUUUGAAUUUUAACAGAGGGGGUCUAUAAAACCAUCAUGGAGCCGGAGGAUCAACAGUGUGAUGGCAGCACACAGCCCCAGUGAGCCAGUCUUCUUGUCCCCCAGAGGCCCGGAGGGGAGGCAUUUCAAUAAUUGUUCAAAGUGUCUUCUUGAGGAAAUAAGUAAACCAGGGCCAGCUGUCACAAGCCAAUCUACAAUAAUGAUCCCCGUAUGUGCAUCCUCGGGAUUCAUAACAAUCUACAAUAACAAGUGUGUGCAUUCGUCUACUGUCCCUGAACAGCCUAAAAACAAAAAACAAAAAAACCUACUAUCUGCUCUGAUGUCUUGCUUGGUAGUUCACUUGUAUUUUUAAACAGCAUCCUUGAAUAACCUCACAGUCACAAACUGCCAAACAAAAAUUGCAUCACCAAUUUAAUAACAAACAACGGUGGGCAGCCUGGCAUCAAUCCACCUGUAACAGGAUGGCCACAAACCUAGGUUUCUGAGCCAAGUGGAAGCCAGGUAGACGGCUCGGCAGACAACUGAAACCAGUUAAGAGAGAAACAGCCACCAAGACAGACAUGCUUUAUUGACUUGAAGAUCACAAACAGGAACUGGGAAGGCCUUGUUUUCAGCUUACUUGUGAAAUCAACCCGAAGUAUUUCAAUUUUGCUCCUCCCAACAAACAGCUGUGAAAUGACUAAUAGAAAUGAACUGAUGAUGUACCAGGAACUAAGUGUGCCACUUCACUGAGAACAGAAAAGCGUUCCCUGAUCGAGGCUGUCCUCUCAGAUUAAUACCUGAGACAUGGUGCAGAGAAACUACUCAACCAGGCUGUUCUAUAGGCAGAAAGAAAGAAUCAUUGCGACUCGAACUGCCAAGGCAGGGAGAAAAGCAAAAUGGUGGGAAACCAAGCAGAUAUUGUAUGACAGCCAUCAGGGUGGGGAUCUGAGCUGAUCCGGUCAGAGCCAUCGGGGCUGACCACAAAGUGGAUGUCCUUGCCUGAGGUAGCUGACCUUUGAGGGAGCUGAGGUUCCUAGUAAGAGAUCUGCUUUACUAGUGAACAGAAACUUUAAGGCUUGCUCACAAUCCUUCUGUUUGCCUGGCCAAAGUCCUUUUAUCUAGAGCAAUGCCAUUUUGGAGGAAGAGGGGCUCUGGACCUGAAUAGACUCUGCGUGCUGUAAAGAGGGUCCCAGCCAAUCACAGGCACGCUGCUGUUACAGAGAAAGAACCACCCAAGCGCCUUCCCAACAUGUUCUCAUAUCUCAGUUCCUUUGAAUUAUGGUUCUAUCUCUAAUUUCAUGUUCCCGAAGAAACUCCAGAGACAGGGGAAGAAAGAGGAGAAAGAAAAUUUCUUAUCACAUUGCUUUUGUCUCCAUGGGCCACUCAGGCUUUCCAAAUUGGAAUCUUAAUCUUGCUGGAGGCUGGGCCUGGCGAGAAGGGUGAAUGAACUCAAGCUGCUCCAGGAACUGGCCAGCUGCUCUGCCGCAGCCUUCCUAGGUGCUAAGAAUCAUCUUUCCUCAUUACAAUGGCUCAGUACAUUUCCAUAUUUGCACUCCCAGCUAAAAGCAAUUUAACCAGCAGGCAACUUUAUCUCGCUUCGGUAGUUCAAACAUCUCCUACAGAAGCAUCAGAAGGGCACUGACUGACACCGUGGAAGUUGUUUUGAAGUGUAUCUUGCACAUUUUUAAUUGUAAAAGUAAGACAUGACAAUGAUUAAAAUAAAUGGAAAAUGGGUUCGUAUAGAAAGCAAAAGUGUGUAGGUGGCGAAGGCAAGAGAACUGCUGUGAUCUCAAGGCCAACCUGGACUACAUAAGAGGAUCCUAUUCAGUAACUAUGGGGUUGAGGAGGUGGCUCAGUGGGACAGUGCCUGCUGCAAAAGCAAGAGAUCUUCAGGUUGGAUCCCCAGCAGCCAAGUAAAAAAGCUGGGUGUGGUCACACACAUCUGUAACCACAGAGCCAGGCGGAUCCGGUUAGUUUAUAGCCAGCCGAUCUAGCCAACCAGCGAUCACCAAGUUCAGUGAGAGACCCGACUCAAAAAGAUAUAUGGAAGUCAUCAACGAAGACAUCCUGGUCUCCCUGCUCAUAUAUGCAAGCUCUCUCUCUCUCUCUCGAGCUUGACUGGCUGGUUAUAAAAGUCACAUGGAAAGCCCAGAAGAGGCAACACAACCAUGAAAAAGAUCGAAGGUGGAAGACAAGUAUUUCCCAGCUUCAAAACCUACAGUAAUCUUCCUACGGAGACCAGCAAAGAAUUGAUGGUAUAGGAAUAAACCACAUAUUACGGUCAACUCCAGACAAGGCACCAAAGGAAACUUGAUAGGAGAGAAAGAACUAUGUUCGUUGUUGUUUGGCUUUGGUGCUGGGGUUUGAACCUCAUGUGUGCUGAGUAAGCACCCUACUACUGAGCUACAUCCUUGUCCCUCGGUUUUCACAUUUUAUUUGGACAUGGGGCCUUACUAAAUUAUCGGUGCUGACUUUGAACUCAUUCUGUAGCUUGGGUUGGCCUUGAACUUGCAGUGCUCCAGCCUCAGCCUCCCAAUUAGCUGGGAUUACAGGACUUGUAGCAUAGGCCCAGCUAAAAAUACCCUAUUCAAAAAAUGGUGCUGGGCCAGCCAAGUAUCUAUGUGCAAAAGAGUGAAGUUGACUCUCUUCAGCACCGUACUCCUCCCACCUCAUCCAGGUGGAUACAGUGUAUGUGUAUGGAGAUGUCACAGUGAAACUCAUUGUUUUGUACUCUAAUUUAAAAAUUCAUAAAAUACCAAGUCAAGAUGAAUCACUGACCUAAAUGUAAUAAUUAAAACUACAUUUCUUUUUUUUUUCU
rnacentral:lncRNA from 1 species